ACCCAAAAUCGUUUAGAAUGGAGAGAGAGAAUCUAUAUAGUCGAUCCUAAAUUUUUGGGAUAAAAGUUUGGUUGAGUUGAGUAGAUUGAAUCUCAAACAAUGGUUAAUGAUCAAAAUGUAUCGUAAUACAUAUAUCCGUGCUACAUGAUGGACAUAAUUAAAGUUAUCAAGUAAUGCAAGAUAUGAAGGAUUGAAGAGUUGCUAAUGUGUUGUAAUACAUAUAUCCGUGCUACACGAUGGACAUAAUUCAAGCUGUCAAGUAAUGCAAGAUAUGAAGGGGAUAUGAAGGAUUGAAGAGUUUCUGUUUAGCAUUGAUGAGGUUAGUUAUUUUAGCUAACCAGUUUUUGGUUUAAGUAAACUAAUGAAAAAUUCUUACUUAGACUCGGUAUAUCAUGAAUCCAAGUUACAAACAUUGGACUCAAGAGGUCUAUCAUGAAUGUAAGACACAAACAUUGAGCUCAAGACAUAAACAUAUGGAAUCCAUAUAUUUAAUAAGUGAAUUUCACCAUAAAUCUUAUAUCUUGGUUCUAUGUUGGACCGAGUUUAGGUAAAAAAAAUCAUUUCAGUAAUUAGCUUUUAAGUUUUAGCUAGAUAGUUUUAAUGAGCUGAGCAGUUACAAAAGCCAUCAUUAGUUAGCUUCCUGCUAGUUGGUAAUUAUUAUUUUACCGUUUCUUCUUUUCUUUCUCGUAAGAUAAAUCAAUUAUAGCUUGAUUCGUUAAUGAGAUUCACACACAACUUUUCCUUCGUUUUCUCUGUGUUAAAAGCUUAAAGUAACAAAUGAACUUACUGAUAAAAAUGCUCUUAUUGGCAUCGAUCACAGGGUUUGAGGCCCUCGAUCCCAAAACAUACUCAUCCCAAAUUGGUGGAGCUGCUUGAGAGAUGCUGGCAGAAAGAUCCAUCUUUGAGACCUGAAUUCUCUGAAAUUUUAGAACUGCUACAACAGUUAGCCAAGAAGGUAUAAAGAAGUGUAUAAAAAAACGUCUAUUUGCAUCUACUUUGCGAAUUUUGAAAGCUUCAUGAUCUCGUAACAGGUUGCAGAGGAAACAGAAGAUAGGCAGGAAGAGAAAUCGUCUGAAAGAGCCGUAAAAACAAUUAGGCGAAACAGACAUUGAAGUAAUAGGCGAGAAUAUUGUAUAAAAUAUUGAAAAGCUUUCCAUGGAUUAAAUAUGCACCCGUAAAAUCAUCAGAACCAACAUGAGCCUAAUUUGAUGUUGAAGUAGAAUUGUUAAUGCCACUGUUGUUGACCAAAUAUACAGCUUAAUCAGAAUUUUGCAUUGAUCCAGUUGUAGUUUGAGUCUAGUUCUGUUCAUUUAUAUUUGUCUGUGACUCAAAUUUGAAAUCCUG
rnacentral:misc_RNA from 1 species